rnacentral:rRNA from 1 species
CGGUAAUACGGAGGAUCCAAGCGUUAUCCGGAAUCAUUGGGUUUAAAGGGUCCGUAGGCGGUCAAGUAAGUCAGUGGUGAAAGCCCAUCGCUCAACGGUGGAACGGCCAUUGAUACUGCUUGACUUGAAUUAUUAGGAAGUAACUAGAAUAUGUAGUGUAGCGGUGAAAUGCUUAGAGAUUACAUGGAAUACCAAUUGCGAAGGCAGGUUAUUACUAAUUGAUUGACGCUGAUGGGCGAAAGCGUGGGUAGCGAACAGGAUUAGAUACCCUGGUAGUCCACGCCGUAAACGAUGGAUACUAGCUGUUGGGAGCAAUCUCAGUGGCUAAGCGAAAGUGAUAAGUAUCCCACCUGGGGAGUACGUUCGCAAGAAUGAA